AGGGGGGAUGAGUGGCGUGAGGAUAACAAGUAGUUAGCGAGCCGAUUGUUCCAUGUCCGUGUCCGAAACUAUGACGAGAAAAGGAAUUAAGUGUGGUAUAUAAUUUGUUUCCUGCCAUUCUCCUCAUCUUUUCUCAGCGCAGAGAUGCAUGUCAGUGCCCUCAAACUUACCUUGAUCUUAUGCCGUGGUGCAAAUAUGAGGGCGUGAGGUAGGAGUGUGUGAGCCAAAGGAGCAGCAACACGUUCGAAGAGACCCCGAGGCAAAGUUACAUCAGCCACAGAAACGCUCGAUCUACUUGUAUAGGAGCGGCGGGCGAGAGCAGUGCGUUGUGUGUGCGGGCGUGGCGUCGCGGUUAUUAAUUAGUGGUGAUAAGUGUGCAUUAAUUUAUCGUUCCUCUUCUGCGUUUUCUUCGCGGUGGGUUUGGUGAGUACCCGUAUCACAGGUCUCAUCGUGGGACAGACAGCGCUGGAGCACCCAUUCGACAAAAGUAAAGUGAAGAUCCUGUUUCCUAGGUGUUAGGGCGAUAGGCUGAGCGGCUAAUCUUCAUUGCCUUUCAGGUACAAACUAAUUUUUCUUUUUCCAGGUACAUGCUAAACUAUUUUUUUUCCAGGUACACGCUAAUAAAUUAUCUAGUCUUUCCCAAAAUAGUAAUGUCCUUGUUAGUGUAUUGUAGCGGCGACCAGAUGGAGCCCGGUGUCGGUGAAGGAGGACGGUGCUGCUGGCGGGCGUGCUGCUUUCAUAUGGGUUGCGUGGAAGAUGGAUUCAGUGGUCUUGACUGUGCUGGUGGGUGUCCUUGAGAAAUUAUCACAAAGACGCUAGAUAAAAAUUACACGAGUCACACAGAUGUAAAAGAAAAUAUUCGGAUGGAAGUUGAGAAAUCUCACAGCGUUCUGACAAUGGAAAAGGUGAGGAAAUCUUACCUCUCCGGUAAAACGACUCUUUUCUUAGAGUGAAGCAGGUAACUUUUUUUUUUUUUGCAGGUCAAACUAAUGAUCUCUCUUGCAGGUCAAAUUAAUCUCUCCUAAUAUCUCUUGCAGGUCAAACUAAUCUAUCUCUUGCAGGUCAAACUAAUUUCUCCUAAUCUCUUGCAGGUCAAACUAUUCUAUCUCUCUUGCAGGUCAAACUAAUCUAUCUCUUGCAGGUCAAACUAAUUUGUCUCUUGCAGGUCAAACUAAUUUAUCUCUUGCAGGUUCAACUAAUCUAUAUCUCUUGCAGGUCAAACAAACUAUUCUAUCUCUCUUGCAGGUCAAACUAAUUUAUCUCUCUUGCAGGUCAAACUAAUUUAUCUCUUGCAGGUUCAACUAAUUCAACUAAUCUAUAUCUCUUGCAGGUCAAACUAACUAUUCUAUCUCUCUUGCAGGUCAAACUAAUCUAUCUCUUGCAGGUCAAACUAAUCUAUCUCUUGCAGGUCAAACUAAUUUAUCUGUCUCUUGCAGGUCAAACU